rnacentral:rRNA from 1 species
AAUCAACGCUGGCGGCGUGCCUCAGACAUGCAAGUCGUACGAUUAAAGCUCUCUUCGGAGAGUGUAUAGAGUGGCGCACGGGUGAGUAACACGUAAGUAAUCUACCUUCGAGUGGGGAAUAACAGUCGGAAACGACUGCUAAUACCGCAUAAUGCAGCGGCACCUAAUGGUGACAGUUGUUAAAGCAUUUAUGUGCUUGAAGAGGAGCUUGCGGCAGAUUAGCUAGUUGGUAAGGUAAUGGCUUACCAAGGCAACGAUCUGUAGCCGACCUGAGAGGGUGGUCGGUCACACUGACACUGAA